rnacentral:tRNA from 2 species
GGGCCCGUGGGGUAGCUUGGUAUCCUUCCACCUUGGGGUGGUGGUAACUCCAGUUCAAAUCUGGACGGGCUCA